rnacentral:rRNA from 1 species
GACGAACGCUGGCGGCGUGCUUAACACAUGCAAGUCGAACGGUGAAGCGCCUUCCUUUUUGGUGGGUGUGGAUGAGUGGCGAACGGGUGAGUAACACGUGAGUAACCUGCCCCCUUCUUCUGGAUAACCGCAUGAAAGUGUGGCUAAUACGGGAUAUUCUGGGUCUGUCGCAUGAUGGGUCUGGGAAAGAUAUUGUUUCGGUGGGGGAUGGGCUCGCGGCCUAUCAGCUUGUUGGUGGGGUGAUGGCCUACCAAGGCGGUGACGGGUAGCCGGCCUGAGAGGGUGGACGGUCACACUUGGACUGAGACACGGCCCAGACUCCUACGGGAGGCAGCAGUGGGGAAUAUUGCACAAUGGGCGCAAGCCUGAUGCAGCGACGCCGCGUGAGGGAGGGAGGCCUUCGGGUUGUGAACCUCUUUCGCCAGUGAAGCAGGCCUGCCUCGUUUGUGGGUGGGUUGACGGUAGCUGGAUAAGAAGCGCCGGCUAACUACG